ACGGGAGGCAGCAGCUAAGAAUAUUCCGCAAUGGACGAAAGCCUGACCCAGCAACGCCGCGUGAAGGAUGAAGGUCUUCGGAUUGUAAACUUCUUUAAUCGGGGAAGAAAAAAAUGACCUACCCGAAGAAUAAGCCACGGCUAACUACGUGCCAGCAGCCGCGGUAAUACGUAGGUGGCAAGCGUUAUCCGGAUUUACUGGGUGUAAAGGGCGUGUAGGCGGCUCUGCAAGUCAGAAGUGAAAUUCCCGGGCUCAACCUGGGCGCUGCUUCUGAAACUGCAGAACUUGAGUACUGGAGGGGAAAGCGGAAUUCCUAGUGUAGCGGUAAAAUGCGCAGAUAUUAGGAGGAACACCGGUGGCGAAGGCGGCUUUCUGGACAGUAACUGACGCUGAGGCGCGAAAGCGUGGGGAGCAAACAGGAUUAGAUACCCUGGUA
rnacentral:rRNA from 1 species